GGCGAACGACGGGUAGCCGACCUGAGAGGGUGAAUCGGCCACACUGGGACUGAGACACGGCCCAGACUCCUACGGGAGGCAGCAGUGGGGAAUAUUGCACAAUGGGCGCAAGCCUGAUGCAGCGACGCCGCGUGAGGGAUGACGGCCUUCGGGUUGUAAACCUCUUUCACCAGGGACGAAGCGUGAGUGACGGUACCUGGAGAAGAAGCACCGGCCAACUACGUGCCAGCAGCCGCGGUAAUACGUAGGGUGCGAGCGUUGUCCGGAAUUACUGGGCGUAAAGAGCUCGUAGGCGGUUUGUCGCGUCGUCUGUGAAAUUCUGCAACUCAAUUGCAGGCGUGCAGGCGAUACGGGCAGACUUGAGUACUACAGGGGAGACUGGAAUUCCUGGUGUAGCGGUGAAAUGCGCAGAUAUCAGGAGGAACACCGGUGGCGAAGGCGGGUCUCUGGGUAGUAACUGACGCUGAGGAGCGAAAGCGUGGGUAGCGAACAGGAUUAGAUACCCUGGUAGUCCACGCCGUAAACGGUGGGUACUAGGUGUGGGUUCCUUUUCACGGGAUCCGUGCCGUAGCUAACGCAUUAAGUACCCCGCCUGGGG
rnacentral:rRNA from 1 species